ensembl:lncRNA
CAGAUUUCCAAGUCGAAGUUUAAAAAUGUUCAGCGAUUUCCUGCACAGUGGUGUUCACCACGCUGAAAACUUUCAGCAGUCAUCGUGACUGUUGUCAUGAGCCGUUUCUCAAAUUGAAAACGUACCUUACGUUCAAAAGUAUUCACUAAACAAGAAAAUCCAGAAAACCGACACGCAAAAAAACACCUUGCAGAUAACUUUCUGUAGCCUGAGAGCUGGAAGUGUGGCUUCUAAAACUCAAUGACUAUAAUAGGAAAUCCGGUUAGUGUUAGCUUCAAUUUCUGAUGUCGUAAGAUACCUGCAGCAGCCGUCUUGCACGUGUAUCUCUACAGCAACUACUUCACUAACCUGCACCUCAUCGGUAUAACAUCAUCGGUACAGCUGGUGUAGUCAUCAGAACGCUAAAGCGAUGAUGAGCGAUUCUUCACAGUUCAAGAACUUUUAACUCCAGCUAUCAUCUUACAUAUUUAGCAAUCAAGCUAAUCUACUCUUUCAAUCAAGUGCCAUGUAUAAACAGCUUCAUGUUUGUCAUCGAUAUUACUUGGAAUGUAUUGACUUCUUAGCUUGCUGUCGAGUUUUUGGAUAGCUAUUGACUAUUGUUUUCAGACCUGGAAUUAGGUGUAUUCAUAUAGGAUGGUGAAAUUUAAAUAAAAUGAAAUGUCCACAAUUUACUGACCACAUUUUCAUUUAUUUUUCACAUCAUAACAGUAAAACAUAACAACCAACAAAAUGGGGAAAAAUAAUUAACCAGGGCUGAAUAAACAUGUUUGUUAUGAUAUAUAUACUUUAAAAAAAAAAAAAAAAAAACCUAACAAACAAGGAGAAAAAAAAAACAAAGAAAGAAACCUGUGCUGUUUUGAUCAAUCCACGAAUGAGAACAUGGCACAGUCGAGGUCCCGGGUACGAGUGUAACGCUCUGUGUAUGUGUGCGCGCGUGUUUAAGCGUCGUAGUUGGGGUUUUUGCGCAGGAUGACGAAGCCCUCGAGGAUGGGCGUGACCGGGAUGUACUCCUCUGUCGCCAGCUCGGCUCUCUCCCCGUGCGCCAGCAGCACCGGCGUGGUGUGCGUCUGAAAACCAGUGAUGGCUUUGGGUUUGCCUGCCUCUGCACGCUUACUGUUCUUCACAUCCAGGAAGGACACUAGGACCGUGAGGAGUCCGGCCACCGCCACCUGACUCAUGAGCUGCCUGUCGCUGUGGUACGGACACAACGUCAGCGUCCCUUUACCCAGAUGCGUCAAUCCCUACAUGCGCGCACACACACACAAAUUUACAGUAGAACCAUAUGACAACAUGUUACACCACAGCACUGCUGAAUUCCAGAUUCUGACUGGUAGAAGGUGUUGAUUCAUUUUCUGACAGUACUGCAGCUGCAAAUCGCAGGUUUAUAUAAACGCACUCGUUAUAAUACGUUAUCGUUUCUACAGGAACAGAUCAUUAACUGUGGCCAUGCCAUAUAAACGGAAAUUUCAAAACUCGUUGAUAAGUAAGAACAGAACCAACUCGUAUAAUUUAUCGUAAGUGUUGGUAAGUGAGGAAUAAACUACUCUGGAACAUGCUGUUAUAGGAAACUAAUCGACGUCGGUGUAGUAAAAGGAACUCAAUCGGUAUUUUACCUGAGCGAGUCGGACCAUGAACAGGUUGUUGGGGUCCUUGGCGUGGUACUGGGCCAGCUGACGGAGCAUGGCUGCUAGACGAGCAUUGUUGGUA